GUAGGUGGCAAGCGUUGUCCGGAAUUAUUGGGCGCAAAGCGCGCGCAGGUGGUUCUUUAAGUCUGAUGUGAAAGCCCCCGGCUCAACCGGGGAGGGUCAUUGGAAACUGGGGAACUUGAGUGCAGGAGAGGAAAGUGGAAUUCCACGUGUAGCGGUGAAAUGCGUAGAUAUGUGGAGGAACACCAGUGGCGAAGGCGACUUUCUGGCCUGUAACUGACACUGAGGCGCGAAAGCGUGGGGAGCAAACAGGGAUUAGAUACCCUGGUAGUCCACGCCGUAAACGAUGAGUGCUAAGUGUUGGGGGGGUUUCCGCCCCCUCAGUGCUGCAGCUAACGCAUUAAGCACUCCGCCUGGGAGUACGGUCGCAAGACUG
rnacentral:rRNA from 1 species